AUAUGUCCUUUAAUUUCAUCAACAAAUAAUUAGCUCUUCUUCUCAAAAUUUUCUCCUACUCCAAACUCUUGUUAACAUGACUAAAAAGUGCCUAUUCUUUUUUUAUGUUCUCUUUGUGGUACUAACAGUUCAUUCGUUUUGGUCCUCAAACACUCGAGCAAUGGCUUUGCGAGACUUACCUUUUGAAGUAGAGUUCAUUGAAAAGAUUCUGCUACCAGAUAGUCUUACAUAUACUCAACGUUGUUGGGAUCGUUGUGAAAUUAAUUUUGAUUGCAGAAAAUUGCCAGGUUGUGGGUAUUGUAGACGGCAGAGUUCUAAAUCGCCGUUUAAGCGAUGCUUGACUCCACGUUGACCGAUUUGAAUCUCAUAUCGUUACAGUCAGAACUCUCUGUAACAACAUCCUUAUAUAACUCAUUCACUAUAAAAACAAGUUUUUCUUGGUACCGAUUUUUAUAUUUUGUUAUAAUAUAUGUUUUUUAUAAUAACAUUUCAAACAAACGAGACUGUUAUAGAGAAGUUUGACUGUAAAAUAUUUUAAUUCUAUUACCUUUUUACUUUUAAUUACCAGCUCCUUUUCCUUCUGA